CGAACGCUGGCGGCGUGCCUAAGUCGAGCGGAUGAAAGAGAGCUGCUCUCUGGAUUCAGCGGCGGACGGGUGAGUAACACGUGGGCAACCUGCCUGUAAGACUGGGAUAACUCCGGUAAACCGGGGCUAAUACCGGAUAACUUCUUUUCCCGCAUGGGGAGAGGUUGAAAGAGGGUUAUGCUGUCACUUACAGAUGGGCCCGCGGCGCAUUAGCUAGUUGGUGGGGUAACGGCCUACAAAGGCGACGAUGCGUAGCCGACCUGAGAGGGUGAUCGGCCACACUGGGACUGAGACACGGCCCUGAACUCGCUACGGGAGACAGCAGUAGGGAAUCUUCCGCAAUGGACGAAAGUCUGACGGAGCAACGCCGCGUGAGUGACGAAGGCCUUCGGGUCGUAAAACUCUGUUAUCAGGGAAGAAYAAGCAUCGUUUAACUGACCGUGCCAUGACGGUACCUGACCAGGAAGCCACGGCUAACUACGUGCCAGCAGCCGCGGUAAUACGUAGGUGGCAAGCGUUGUCCGGAAUUAUUGGGCGUAAAGCGCGCGCAGGCGGCUUCUAAAGUCUGAUGUGAAUAGUGCCACGGCUCAACCGUGGAGGGUCAUUGGGAAACUGGGAGGCUUGAGUGCAGAUGAGGAGAGCGGAAUUCCACGUGUAGCGGUGAAAUGCGUAGAGAUGUGGAGGAACACCAGUGGCGAAGGCGGCUCUCUGGUCUGUAACUGACGCUAAGGCGCGAAAGCGUGGGUAGCGAACAGGAUUAGAUACCCUGGUAGUCCACGCCGUAAACGAUGAGUGCUAAAGUGUUAAGGGGAUUUCCGCCCAUUAGUGCUGCAGCGAACGCAUUAAGCACUCCGCCUGAGGA
rnacentral:rRNA from 1 species